rnacentral:rRNA from 1 species
GACGAACGCUGGCGGCGUGCUUAACACAUGCAAGUCGAACGGAAAGGCCCUGCUUUUGUGGGGUGCCCGUGUGGCGAACGGGUGAGUAACCAGUGAGUAACCCGCCCUUUACUUUGGGAUAACUUUCGGAAACUGGGGCCAAAACCCGAUAGAUGCUCCUGCCCCACUGGGGGGGUUGGAAAGUAUCGGCGGUUGGGGAUGGAUUCGCGGCUUAUCAGCUUGUUGGUUGGGUAGUGGCUUACCAAGGUUUUGACGGGUAGCCGGCACGGGAGCGUGACCGGCCACAAGGGUCCUGAGAUACGCAGCAGAAGGGAACGUGAGGCAGCGGGGGGGAGUAUUGCACAGUGGGGGGGAGCCAGAUGCGACGGCGCUGCGUGCGGAAUGCCGGGCUUCGGGUUGUAAACCGCUGUCGCCUUAAACGUGGCGUGAGUGACGGUAAUGAGUAAAAAAGCACCGGCUAACUACGUG